UGACCACUUCGAUGUAGAAGUUAAGGCCAUACGGACAGCCGGGUCAAAUGCCGA
rnacentral:sRNA from 1 species